AGAAGAUCGUGUUGAAGGUCUGCAUCAUGUGCAACAAGUGCAAGAUCUGCAUCAUGACGACCAUCGCCCCCUUCGAGGGGGUUGUGUCGAUAGCGCUGGACGCCGAGAAGAACACGGUGACGAUAGUGGGGAACGUCGACGCCACGCUCAUCGUGAAAGCGCUGAGGAAGGCCAGGAAGACAGCCGACAUCGUCAGCGUCGGGGAAGCCAGCAGGUACAGGCCGGUGACGGUGGAGCUAUGCACGACUUCGCAGUCACACUGCAGCUCUUGCAGGCCGGUGAUGGUGGUGUGCGAGGAAACCAAAGGGUGCAGCAUCCUGUAAAGCAGUUGAUUGUUCUACCUAUUCAUGUGUUUAUUGUUGAGGUGAUAGUGAAGAAUUCUAAACUCAAAAUAAUAUUUUUUUUAGAAAUCAAUAAAUUAAAAAGUAAAUAAGAAA